CCUACGGGUGGCUGCAGUCGAGAAUCAUUCACAAUGGGGGAAACCCUGAUGGUGCGACGCCGCGUGGGGGAAUGAAGGUCUUCGGAUUGUAAACCCCUGUCAUGUGGGAGCAAAUUACAACGCUCGUACCCCAAGAGGAAGAGCCGGCUAACUCUGUUCCAGCAGCCGCGGUAAUACAGAGGUCUCAAGCGUUGUUCGGGAUCACUUGGCGUAAAGCGUGCGUAGGCUGUAGCGUAAGGCGUGUGUGAAAGGCGCGGGCGCAACACGCGGACGGCACAUGAGACUGCUAGUCUAGAGUAAUGGAGGGGGAAGCGGAAUGCUCGGUGUAGCAGGGAAAUGCGUAGAUAUCGAGAGGAACACUCGUGGCGAAGGCGGGAUACUGGACAUUAACUGACGCUGAGGCACGAAGGCCAGGGGAGCGAAAGGGAUUAGAUACCCUGGUAGUC
rnacentral:rRNA from 1 species